rnacentral:rRNA from 1 species
GCCAGCAGUUAUAUCACCCCGAGACAACAGACAGCACACUGAAGCUAAGCAGGUGUGAGCGAAGGUCAGUAUCUGGAUGGGUGACCUUCAGGAAAGCUAAGGUUGCUGCUUGAA